rnacentral:rRNA from 1 species
AUUGAACGCUGGCGGCAGGCCUAACACAUGCAAGUCGAACGGUAACAGGAAGAAGCUUGCUUCUUUGCUGACGAGUGGCGGACGGGUGAGUAAUGUCUGGGAAACUGCCUGAUGGAGGGGGAUAACUACUGGAAACGGUAGCUAAUACCGCAUAACGUCGCAAGACCAAAGAGGGGGACCUUCGGGCCUCUUGCCAUCGGAUGUGCCCAGAUGGGAUUAGCUAGUAGGUGGGGUAACGGCUCACCUAGGCGACGAUCCCUAGCUGGUCUGAGAGGAUGACCAGCCACACUGGAACUGAGACACGGUCCAGACUCUACGGAGGCAGCAGUGGGGAAUAUUGCACAAUGGGCGCAAGCCUGAUGCAGCCAUGCCGCGUGUAUGAAGAAGGCCUUCGG